rnacentral:rRNA from 1 species
UGGGGAAUAUUGGACAAUGGGGGAAACCCUGAUCCAGCAAUGCCGCGUGAGUGAAGAAGGCCUUAGGGUUGUAAAGCUCUUUCGCCCGCGAAGAUAAUGACGGUAGCGGGAGAAGAAGCCCCGGCUAACUCCGUGCCAGCAGCCGCGGUAAUACGGAGGGGGCUAGCGUUGUUCGGAAUUACUGGGCGUAAAGCGUACGUAGGCGGAUGCGCAAGUUGGGGGUGAAAUCCCGGGGCUUAACCUCGGAAUUGCCCUCAAAACUGCACGUCUUGAGACCGAGAGAGGUAAGGGGAAUUCCUAGUGUAGAGGUGAAAUGCGUAGAGAUCGGGAGGAACAUCUGUGGCGAAGGCGACUGCCUGGACCAGCACUGACACUGAGGCACGAAAGCGUGGGGAGCAAACA